rnacentral:rRNA from 1 species
UACGAAGGGGACUAGCGUUGUUCGGAAUCACUGGGCGUAAAGCGCACGUAGGCGGAUUUGUAAGUCAGGGGUGAAAUCCCGGGGCUCAACCUCGGAACUGCCUUUGAUACUGCGAAUCUUGAGUCCGAUAGAGGUGGGUGGAAUUCCUAGUGUAGAGGUGAAAUUCGUAGAUAUUAGGAAGAACACCAGUGGCGAAGGCGGCCCCACUGGAUCGGUACUGACGCUGAGGUGCGAAAAGCGUGGGGGAGCAAACAGGGAUUAAGAAAACCC